CAAAUAUGGCGCAAUAGGACAGCGCAUCGGUCUACGAAUCCGAAGGAUGCAGGUUCAAGUCCUGUUAUUUGC
rnacentral:ncRNA from 13 species